GAGCGAACGGAUUANGAGCUUGCUCUUAUGAAGUUAGCGGCGCACGGGUGAGUACACGUGGGUAACCUGCCCAUAAUAUGGGAUAACUCCGGGAAACCGGGGCUAAUACCGGUAUAACAUUUUGCACUGCAUGGUGCGAAAUUGAAAGGCGGCUUCGGCUGUCACUUAUGGAUGGACCCGCGUCGCAUUAGCUAGUUGGUGAGGUAACGGCUCACCAAGGCAACGAUGCGUAGCCGACCUGAGAGGGUGAUCGGCCACACUGGGACUGAGACACGGCCCAUACUCCUACGGGAGGCAGCAGUAGGGAAUCUUCCGCAAUGGACGAAAGUCUGACGGAGCAACGCCGCGUGAGUGAUGAACGCUUUCGGGUCGUAAAACUCUGUUGUUAGGGAAGAACAAGUGCUAGUUGAAUAAGCUGGCACCUUGACGGUACCUAACCAGAAAGCCACGGCUAGCUACGUGCCAGCAGCCGCGGUAAU
rnacentral:rRNA from 1 species